CUCCCUGCACCUUUUUCCUCUCUUUCUCCUGUAAGCAAAGCGCUUUGCUCCCCGCCGAGGCUGACUUGCAAGCAGAGGUCGGGGCGCCGGGCUCUCCGCUCAGCCGCUGCCCAGCUCUGCGCGGCGCCGGGCAGCGGGAGGGGGUGUGCAACGCACUCUCACGCAAGCUCGCCCGCAAACGCGGUCCCUUUAAGGGGAGGGUGCCAUGAGGCAACCUAACCCGCCUGUUUGGUCAGGAGGGAGUAACUGGAAUCUGGAGUUUGACCGGGACAGCCCUGAGAGGCGAUGAAAUGCUUCGGUGCGGAGCCGCGCAAGGACUAGCGCCCCGGGCCGCGCAGGGACGCGCAGCGACGCGCAGCUGCCCGCGGAGGAACCUACCGCCGCGCAACCCCUUUCCGCGCAGCCAGGAGGUGUCUCCUUGGGGCCACAAACAACAACAGGGAAGUUGUCAAGCCAACAAAAUCAAAGAGCCCGGCUCUCCAGGGCUUGGUGCCUUCGAUUUCUCCAUGAGCACAGCGUAUAUACCAAGUCAACUGCGCAGAUGACAAAAUCUCAAAACUGCUUCCCCCAGCUGAACAUUCUUCACAGGGCUGUGUGUGCACCCAUCCAUGCUCCACACCAGAACCUGCUGGCCCAUGAACACUGUGGAUGUGGAUGCUAGACAGCUGGCCCUGGAGUUGGAGGUCCUUAAACUCCCGUGGGCAACAUCAGAGGUCUCAGAGACAAAGUCAGCUGGAGGAACAAAGAAACUGAGAAGCUUGAGAUGUGUCUCCCAUGACCCCAUGAAGCUUACAGGAGUUGCUAAAUUGCUGGAUGUCUUUAUUGUUUUAUGUCCUUUUUUAUCUGCCUGUCAGGGUAUUGUCUCUGUGAAGAACAGCAGGCACUGAACAAAAUCAAAGUGGUUGAUGAUUAUCUCAGUGAACUGCUUGGAGAAUGCAGUCAGUGGUCACAGUAAAGCUGGCUGGUGGAGAGAGUCUUAUAUAGAAGCUGGAAUAAAAUACCUGAGAAGUAAUUGAUCACAGGUAACAUUUACCCCUAACUGUGCAAGCCCUGUUUUAGACUAGAAUUCUUUUAUAUCAAAAUAGACAUCACAGGCUAUAUUUUGGUAACAGCAAAUUUAGUAGGCUACUGUGAUAUAAAUAAAAUAAAUGUUGAGGGUCCUGAAGCAAGGGAGAUUAUCGGAACUCCUACUGACUUCAGCAGGAACAAGUUUGAGCCUGGAGUGAUUUGGCUCAUAACUGUUCAGCUAGAUUGAAAGAAAAAGAGUCUGGGAUUUUUUUGAUCAAAGAUUUUAUUAAUGUCCAACAAGGAUACUGUUUAAUCUUAAAAAAAAAAAGUACAUCAAUUGUUUGGAUUCUGAGCUCUGUGUUACACUAAUUCUUGGACAGGCAAAUUG